rnacentral:rRNA from 1 species
GAUGAACGCUGGCGGCGUGCUUAACACAUGCAAGUCGAACGGUGAAGCGCCUUCCUUUUUGGUGGGUGUGUAGGGGUGGCCAGCGGGUGAGUAACACGUUAGUAACCUGCUCUCUCCUUCUGGAUAACCGCAGGAAAGUGUGGCUAAUACCGGAUAUUCUGUGCCUGUCGCAUCAUGGGUCUGGGGGAGCUUUUGUUUCGGUGUGAGCUGGGCUCGUGGCGGCUUAGCUUGUUGGUGGGGUCAUGGCCUACCAAGGCGACGACGCGUAGCCGGCCUGAGAGGAGGAUCGGCGACACUAGAAGUGAGACACGGUCCAGACGCCUCCGGGAGGCGGCAGUAGGGAAUAUUGGACAAUGGGCGCAGGCCUGAUGCAGCAACGCCGCGUGGGUGAAGAAGGACUUCGGCUUGUAAAGCACUUUUGUUGGGAGAGAAGAAGGGCUGCCUAGUUUGUGGGUGUGUUGACGGUAGCUAAAGAAGAAGCACCGGCUAACUACGUG